rnacentral:rRNA from 1 species
GGCGGCAGGCUUAACACAUGCAAGUCGAGCGCCCCGCAAGGGGAGCGGCAGACGGGUGAGUAACGCGUGGGAAUCUACCCUUUUCUACGGAAUAACGCAGGGAAACUUGUGCUAAUACCGUAUGUGUCCUUCGGGAGAAAGAUUUAUCGGGAAAGGAUGAGCCCGCGUUGGAUUAGCUAGUUGGUGGGGUAAAGGCCUACCAAGGCGACGAUCCAUAGCUGGUCUGAGAGGAUGAUCAGCCACAUUGGGACUGAGACACGGCCCAAACUCCUACGGGAGGCAGCAGUGGGGAAUAUUGGACAAUGGGCGCAAGCCUGAUCCAGCCAUGCCGCGUGAGUGAUGAAGGCCCUAGGGUUGUAAAGCUCUUUCACCGGAGAAGAUAAUGACGGUAUCCGGAGAAGAAGCCCCGGCUAACUUCCGUGCCAGCAGCCGCGGUAAUACGAAGGGGCUAGCGUU